AAGUCGUAACAAGGUAACCGUAGGUGAACCUGCGGUUGGAUCAUUAAUAAAACUAGAGGGCCUUCAAGGCUUUUCUAUACAUCUUGUGAAUUGUUUAAUGUCUCUCAGUGUAUCUAGGGUAACCCCUUAGUGCACUAUAUAAACUCUGUAUACUAAUUUGUCUAAUAUUAAUUAUAAAAGUAAUUAAAACAACUUUUGACAACGGAUCUCUAGGCUCUCACAACGAUGA
rnacentral:misc_RNA from 1 species